rnacentral:rRNA from 1 species
GUAAAGAUUUAAGCCAUGCAUGUCUAAGAACAUAUCCCCAAAACGAUGAAUCUGCGCACGGCUCAUUACAACAGCUAUUAUCUACUCGAACUUGAUUCCUAAUUGGAUAACUGCGAUAAUUUUGGAGCUAAUACGUGCACCAAGUUCCUUUUCUCUGAAGAGGGAGCACUUAUUAGAUGAAGACCAAUCGGGGCGACCCGACAUGGUGACUCUGAAUAAUUUCGCUGAUCGCAUGGUCUAGUACCGGCGACGUAUCGUUCGAGUGUCUGCCUUAUCAACUUUCGAUGGAAGUCUAUGUGACUACCAUGGUUGUGACGGGUAACGGAGAAUAAGGGUUCGACUCCGGAGAGGGAGCCUGAGAAACGGCUACCACAUCCAAGGAAGGCAGCAGGCGCGUAAAUUACCCACUCUCAAUUCGAGGAGGUAGUGACUAUCAAUACCGAGACAGAUCUCUUUGAGGCCUGUUAUCGGAAUGAAAACAAUUUAAAUCCUUUAAUGAGGACCUAUGAGAGGGCAAGUCUGGUGCCAGCAGCCGCGGUAAUUCCAGCUCUCAAAGUGUAUAUCGUCAUUGCUGCGGUUAAAAAGCUCGUAGUUGGAUCUGAGCCCGUGGACGUGGUGUUGUGAAUGCAGCAACUGCGAUCCUGGGUUAUUUUGUCGGUUUUCUGUAGCUUGUCUUCAUUGACUUGAUGCAGUGGCUGGCAUAUUACCUUGAAUAAAUCAGAAUGCUCAAUAUAAGCGUUUUGCUUGUAUGGUUGUGCAUGGAAUAAUGGAAUAGGACUUCGGUUCGUUCUGUUGGUCUUAGGAUCGAUGUAAUGGGUUAAGAGGGGCAGACGGGGGCAUUCGUAUCGCUGCGUGAGAGGUGAAAUUCUUGGACCGCAGCGGGACGCACUAAUGCGAAAGCAUUUGCCAAGAAUGUCUUCAUUAAUCAAGAACGAAAGUCAGAGGAUCGAAGGCGAUUAGAUACCGCCCUAGUUCUGACCGUAAACGAUGCCAACUAGCGAUCAGGUGCUCGAUACUUCUAGCGCCUGGGAGCUUCCCGGAAACGAAAGUUUUCGGGUUCCGGGGGUAGUAUGGUUGCAAAGCUGAAACUUAAAGGAAUUGACGGAAGGGCACCACCAGGAGUGGAGCCUGCGGCUUAAUUUGACUCAACACGGGAAAACUCACCCGGCCCGGACACUGUUAUGAUUGACAGAUUGAAAGUUCUUUCUUGAUUCGGUGGUUGGUGGUGCAUGGCCGUUCUUAGUUGGUGGAUUGAUUUGUCUGGUUUAUUCCGAUAACGAACGAGACUCUAACCUGCUAACUAGUUUUGCGAUAGAUUUGUCGUAAAAACUUCUUAGAGGGAUCAGUGGUGUUUCAGCCACACGAAACUGAGCAAUAACAGGUCUGUGAUGCCCUUAGAUGUUCGGGGCUGCACGCGCGCUACACUGGAAAGAUCAACAGGCAAAUUACCUUGCUCGAAAGGGCUCGGAAAUCCUUUGAAAACUUUCCGUGAUUGGGCUAGGGGAUUGCAAUUAUUUCCCUUCAACGAGGAAUUCCCAGUAAGUACGAGUCAUCAGCUCGUUUUGAUUACGUCCCUGCCCUUUGUACACACCGCCCGUCGCUGCCCGGGACUGAGUUGCUUCGAGAAGUGUGGGGACUGUUGCUGUGGGGCGCAAGCUUCGCGGCGAUGGAAACCAUAUUUAUCGCAGUGGCUUGAACCGGGCAAAAGUCGUAAAA